CCUGUAUGCAGGAGCUCCUAGUGCAGCAGUUUUCACUCGUGCUAUUUAGAGACCCUAAAAGUAAGAGACUGGACACCUCGUCUAGUUGGAUACAAAAUGGCGGAUUUAGUCCGUUCCUGUCAGCUGGACUGGUGACGUGUAUGUAUUAGUUGAGCAGUGCAGACAUAUCCGCAAUUAUUAAUAUUAUUAUCGUAAAGUGUUGUUUUAUCUGUUUUCCAAGUUUCUUUUCUUCAAUUGUCUCGCCUAUUCCGUCAUCACUAAUUAGUUCCGCCAUUCUGUAUCCAACUAAUCAAAACUUAGAUCACAAGUGUCCAGUCUCUUGCUUCUAGCAGAGAGUAGAGAGGGUCAAGGGAGAGUGUGGCCAAUUAGCCGAAAGCCGCCAUGUUGAGAACAAUGAGAUUGAAUUAAGCGCGACUUUCAAAAGCGUAUAUGUAUUGUAAAUGCGAAAGAAUGCAAAAUGUUAUGUAAAGAAGUAAUAUAAUCGUGUCAGUAACAUUCUACUAAAGAGUAAAUAUUAUACAUGUUAAUACUUAGCCUCCAAAUAUUAAAGAAAAUCGUUGAAUAGAA